AUUGAACGCUGGCGGCAGGCCUAACACAUGCAAGUCGAGCGGAUGAAGGGAGCUUGCUCCUGGAUUCAGCGGCGGACGGGUGAGUAAUGCCUAGGAAUCUGCCUGGUAGUGGGGGAUAACGUCCGGAAACGGGCGCUAAUACCGCAUACGUCCCGAGGGAGAAAGUGGGGGAUCUUCGGACCUCACGCUAUCAGAUGAGCCUAGGUCGGAUUAGCUAGUUGGUGGGGUAAAGGCCUACCAAGGCGACGAUCCGUAACUGGUCUGAGAGGAUGAUCAGUCACACUGGAACUGAGACACGGUCCAGACUCCUACGGGAGGCAGCAGUGGGGAAUAUUGGACAAUGGGCGAAAGCCUGAUCCAGCCAUGCCGCGUGCGUGAAGAGGGUCUUCGGAUUGUAAAGCACUUUAAGUUGGGAGGAAGGGCAGUAAGUUAAUACCUUGCUGUUUUGACGUUACCAACAGAAUAAGCACCGGCUAACUUCGUG
rnacentral:rRNA from 1 species